ACUCUAUCACAAUCUCCAUUAUAAAUCCAAAAAAAAAAAAAACGGGAAAAAAUUCGAACGUUAAAGAAAACGACAGAUCGGAAAAAGUAGCCGGAGAAAAUAUGUCUUGCACCGUCGCACUUUCAAAUUCGCCGGUGUUCUCGCCGUCUAGGGUUCCGGUACCGGCUUCUCUUCGUUGCAAAGUUUCUAGUUCUUCUUCAUCUUCUUCACCUGAAACCCUUACCCUAACCCACUCUCCUUCAAUGACCUCAUCUUCUCCUUCUUCUCCGUCGUCGCCGCUACGGAUUCUUCGUCUUCAGAAACCUCCACAGAGUAACCUUAUUAGAGCUUCUAAUACUGAUUGUUCUACUUCUACGGUUUUGAAGAGGAAGAGACCGACCAGGUUGGAUCUUCCGGUGACUUCGAUGAGUUUCGGGAAUUUUCCGGUGACUCCGGCUGGUGUAGCGGAUUUGGUGGAGGUUGAGGGUGAUGGAUAUUCUGUUUGCUGUAAAAGAGGGAGAAAAGGUGCAAUGGAGGAUCGUCACUCUGCAAUGGUUAAUCUCAAAGGAGAUUCCAAACAGGGUGUUUUUGGUAUAUUUGAUGGUCAUGGAGGAGUAAAAGCUGCAGAGUUUUCAGCAGAGAACUUGAAUAAGAACAUUAUGAAUGAAAUAGGGAAGACAACCGAUGACAAAAUUGAGGUGGCAGUGAAAAACGGUUAUCUUAAAACAGAUUCUGAAUUUCUCAACAAAGAAGUUCGGGGUGGAUCAUGCUGUGUGACAGCAUUGAUCCAAAAGGGCAAUUUAGUUGUAUCUAAUGCUGGGGAUUGUCGUGCUGUUGUGAGCAGAGGAGGGCUUGCUGAGGCAUUGACCUCUGAUCAUAGGCCUUCAAGGAAAGAUGAGAAGGAUAGGAUUGAGGCAUCGGGUGGCUAUGUAGAUUGUUGUCAUGGUGUUUGGAGAAUUCAGGGAUCUCUCGCUGUAUCAAGAGGUAUUGGGGAUCAGUAUCUUAAACAAUGGGUAACAGCAGAACCUGAGACGAAGAUUCUUGAACUUAAUCCUGAAUUGGAAUUCUUAGUCCUAGCAUCUGAUGGCUUAUGGGAUACUGUUAGCAACCAGGAAGCAGUAGAUAUUGCUCGUCCUUUGUGCACUGGCAUCAGUACACAGCAGCCCUUGUCAGCGUGUAGAAAGCUCAUUGACCUCUCUGUUUCACGAGGUUCACUUGAUGAUAUAAGUGUGAUGAUAAUUCUACUGGGACAAUUCUGUUGACAAGAUCCCCAAUUUAGGGAAUAACAAAAGGCAAAACAAAGGAAAAAAGAAGAAAAGGGAGGUUCCAGAUCUAAUUCUAAGCAACAAAAAGAGAAGCAAGUUCAUCCAGGGUAUUCUUUAGUGAAAUCUGCCACUAUUUAUACUACUCUAGCAACUAUUACUCUUGCUCAUUUGCUAACAUCUUAGGCAGAGUCUGUUUUCCUUUUACAUCUGGACCACGUAUUGAUCCAGGUAUUGUGACACUCAUUUGUACCUGGUACUACGUUUGUUGUUGUUCAACCUGUCCUGCUGAGUCGUUAUAUUACCGCCCCCAUGGAGAAGAACCUUGUCCUCAAGGUUCAAGUGAGGAAACUAUUGCAAGAGGGUAUAUGAGUACUCCCAAGUGGCAUCUUUAAUAGGCAAGCCUACCCAUUUGACAAGGCAUUGAGACACCUGAUGCGCCUCUUUGGUAACAUCCCUUUUGUUCAAAAUAACUUCAGGUGUAAGUAUGACAGAGGGAGUUUGGUCCAACAAAUCAAAUAGGUGUUAUUUGAUUAGUUGGUUUACCGAUACAUUUUCGUAGCACUGAAACAUGGAACACUAGAUGGAUUCGAGAAGAUGAUGGUAGAUCGAGUUUAUCAGCCACGUCACCAAUGUGUUUAAUGAUUUGGAAGGGCCAAAAGAAACGCUUACUCAAUUUGGAAUGACGUUAAAGACGAACUGAAAACUAUCUAUAUGAUCGAAGACGGGCAUACACCCAAUCACCGAUAUCAAAUAUCACCUCCCUACGACCUUUGUUUGCUUGAUACUUCAUCCUAUCUUGAGCCUACAGUAAAUUAGACUUCAACAGAGCUAAUGUCUCAUCGCGUUGUUGCAGAGAACUUGAAACUGCAGGAUUUGAAGUGUUGUCUAACACAAAAUGAGAGACAGUCGGAGUAGGCCGGACAUUUACAAGAUUAGCUCCUAGUAAGAAGAGAAUGCGAUGAUCCUGUAAUCGUGGAGGUGGUAAAGAGGAUGGGGUUGAAAAAUCUCUAGAUAGGAAAUCAAGAGAGUGGUUAAGUCAAGGGGGGUGGCCAUUUCCGACCAUAACUGAAAAACCAAAAGAAGGUUCAACAAGUAAUUUGAGUGCCUUGGCGGACGAGGCUGAAUAAAAUUGUGUGUGCUACCUCCGUCAAGGAGAAUCUACAUAGAAAGGCCUUUGAUAAAUGUAGUGACACGAAUCGUAAAGGGAUGAGGGCCACCGAACAAGGCAUGGUAACUAAUGUGAAGUAGAGAAGGGCUUUCAGUAGUGGUAUCUGGAGGUGGCGAAUUUGAUGGGGGUGGAGACGAAUCAGAAGGAGUGUCCUCUGUAGUGUCAUCAUCCUCAAGAAGUAAAAAAAGUUGAGGAAAGGAUGAACAUUUGUGACCAUUGUGAUAUUUUUCAUCACAAUUGAAACAAAGGUUAAGUUCACGUUUUCGCUGAAGCUCUGUGGGUGUUAGCUUUCUGAAUGAUGUACGACCAACGUCUGGAAUAGAUGCAGUCAGGGCUGAAGAGCUUGAAGAAAGGGUCGUAUUUUAGGGUUGGAAGAUGUGUGGAGGGAAUAUGGACUAGCAGGGUUUUUUGACAGAUAGUUGGGCCAGAUCGGCGUCCCAGCUUAGGCCAAUUUUUUUUGCUCUUGCGAAAAGGCCAAACUGAUUGCUUCAUUGAGAUCCCCGGGUCAAAAAACCAUGACAUUUGAUUUAAUAUCAGGGUGAAUUCCAGAGGUAAAAGAAGUGUUUCAUUAACGGCAGCUAUACCUCAGAGGUACGAUUGGCUAGUUUCUCAAAUUGAGAAAGAUAGUCACGAACGGAGAUUUUCAAUUUUCGAGGUGAAGAAAUUAUAAUUCAAAUUCAAUUCAAAUACUCUUAGAUUGGAUUGAAUUUUUAAGUUCAAUUUUAAAUAUUUUGAACUUUCAAUUUUAACUUUCGCAAAACUUACUAGAAGUCAA